UUUAUCCACCAUGAAAUCAAGUUUUCUUCACUUUCCUUUCCAUGUUUUCUUUUCCUUUCUUCUCCAAACUUCUUGAGCACUAAAUUUAUAGCCUUUAACCCAAAUUUCCAGCACAUCUAAACCCUAGGAGGAGAAGAAAGAAAAAGAGAGAAAGGAAGAAAAAAGCUUGGUUUUGGUGAUUCAAGCAAGGAACGGAAGUGCAAAGAUAAGGUUAGAGUACUAUGGUGGCGUGUCGGAAUAAACAUCGAGUGACCAGCCAGUGAAAAUAAUCAAAGACACCUCCGAUCAAAUAGCAAUGUAAUAUUCCGCUAUCGUAAGGUUUUUCUGAGUCAAAGGUGAUUAGAUCCUAGGACGAGGUGCUCCUCCCUAUCCAUUGCUCGGUAGGUUUACCAUGACAUUAAAUGUUAGCAACCAUGCCCAGAGUCACUCUGCUGACGGUCAAGUUCUAAUUACAUGUAUAUGACUACUUGUUGUGAAAUGCUGAGAUUCACUUGUCAAAUUAUAUGUAUGUAUAUAAUGGUUGAUGAUGCCAUUAUGAAUACAUGACUGGGUUUUAUGAGUUGUUUUAAAAAUGAAUUGUAAUUGAGCAU